ACUAGGAUUUAUCCUGGGGUCACAAUGGGCUUGAUUUGCAAACUUUAUUUAGCGAGGAACAAUUGGAGGGCAAGUCUGGUGCCAGCAGCCGCGGUAAUUCCAGCUCCAAUAGUGUAUAUUAAUGUUCCUGCAGUUAUUCGAUGCUCGUAGUUGGAUUUCUGGGGGCUGAGAUUGGAAGGUGGCCAAGGUCACCGCCGAACUCUUCCUUCAUCCACCUGUUAACGUUGUCCGGGAUUUGUUUCUCGGCUUCAGGCUCAGGUAUUUUACCCUUUCUAUAUAUUCAUUUAUUUAUCUUCUUUUUGAGUAAAUUAUAGUGUUUCAGGCAGGCGUGCGCCGGAAUACUUUAGCAUGGAAUAAUCGAAUUGGACCGUGUAUUCUUAUAGAAUUCUUCCUUAUUUGUUGGUUUCAAGGACACGGAAAUGGUUAAUAGGGAUAGUGUUUUCAGGGGAGGCAUUAGUAUUUAAUUUCCAGAGGUGAAAUUCUUUGAAAUAUUAAAGACUAACUUAUGCGAAAGCAUUUAUUUUGCCAAUAAUGUUUUCAUUAAUCAUUGAACGAAAGUUAGGGGAUCAAAGACGAUCAGAUACCGUCCUAGUCUUAACCAUAAACGUUGCCGACUAGGGAUCGGAGGGCGUGCACAUUCCGCCUUCGGCACCUUACGAGAAAUCAAAGUCUUUUGGGCUCUGGGGGUAGUAUGGUCGCAAGGCUGAAACUUAAAGGAAUUGACGGAAGGGCACCACCAGGAGUGGAGCUUGCGGCUCAAUUUGACUCAACACGGGAAAUCUUACCAGGUCCAGACAUAGCGAGGAUUGACAGAUUGAUAGCUCUUUCUUGAUUCUAUGGGUAUUUAUUUUAAUUUUGGUGGUGCAUGGCCGUUCUUAGUUGGUGGAGUGAUUUGUCUGGUUAAUUCCGUUAAACGAACGAGACCUCAGCCUGCUAAAUAGUUACCUGUCUUUCUUUUACGAGACUUGAUAACUUCUUAGAGGGACGUUGUGUGCAACCACAAGGAAGUUGAGGCAAUAACAGGUCUGUGAUGCCCUUAGAUGUCCUGGGCCGCACGCGUGCUACACUGAUACGUACAACAAGGUAUAUGCAUUUAUGCAUCGAUGCUGCUCCGAAAUAGACACAGCUAAAUCUUCUAAAAUACGUAUCGUGCUGCGGAUAGAUCGUUGAAAUUAUGGAUCUUGAAGGUGGAAUUCCUAGUAAGCGCGGGUCAUCAACCCGCGUUGAUUACGUCCCUGCCCUUUGUACACACCGCCCGUCGCUCCUACCAAUUUCGAGUGGCUCGGUGAACCUCUUUGGACUGUCGAGCAAUCGCGAAAUUAGAGUGAACCUGGUCAC
rnacentral:rRNA from 1 species